rnacentral:rRNA from 1 species
GUGCCAGCAGCCGCGGUAAUACGUAGGUCCCGAGCGUUGUCCGGAUUUAUUGGGCGUAAAGCGAGCGCAGGCGGUUAGAUAAGUCUGAAGUUAAAGGCUGUGGCUUAACCAUAGUACGCUUUGGAAACUGUUUAACUUGAGUGCAUGAGGGGAGAGUGGAAUUCCAUGUGUAGCGGUGAAAUGCGUAGAUAUAUGGAGGAACACCGGUGGCGAAAGCGGCUCUCUGGCUUGUAACUGACGCUGAGGCUCGAAAGCGUGGGGAGCAAACAGGAUUAGA